rnacentral:rRNA from 1 species
ACCUGCCCCUCACUUCGGGAUAACCUCGGGAAAUCGUGGCUAAUACCGGAUAUGAACUUCUACCGCAUGGUGGUUGUUGGAAAGUUUUUCGGUGAGGGAUGGACUCGCGGCCUAUCAGUUUGUUGGGGAGGUAAUGGCUCACCAAGACGAUGACGGGUAGCCGGCCUGAGAGGGCGACCGGCCACACUGGGACUGAGACACGGCCCAGACUCCUACGGGAGGCAGCAGUGGGGAAUAUUGCACAAUGGGCGAAAGCCUGAUGCAGCGACGCAGCGUGAGGGAUGACUGCCUUCGGGUUGUAAACCUCUUUCAGUAGGGAAGAAGCGAAAGUGACGGUACCUGCAGAAGAAGCGCCGGCUAACUACGUGCCAGCAGCCGCGGUAAUACGUAGGGCGCAASSGUUAUCCGGAAUUAUUGGGCGUAAAGAGCUUGUAGGUGGCUUG